ACUCCUACGGGAGGCAGCAGUGGGGAAUAUUGCACAAUGGGCGCAAGCCUGAUGCAGCCAUGCCGCGUGUAUGAAGAAGGCCUUCGGGUUGUAAAGUACUUUCAGCAGUGAGGAAGGUGGGUAUGUUAAUAGCAUACUCAUUUGACGUUAGCUGCAGAAGAAGCACCGGCUAACUCCGUGCCAGCAGCCGCGGUAAUACGGAGGGUGCGAGCGUUAAUCGGAAUUACUGGGCGUAAAGCGCAUGCAGGUGGUUUGUUAAGUCAGAUGUGAAAAGCCCCGGGGCUCAACCUCGGAAUUGCAUUUGAAACUGGCAAACUAGAGUACUGUAGAGGGGGUAGAAUUUCAGGUGUAGCGGUGAAAUGCGUAGAGAUCUGAAGGAAUACCGGUGGCGAAGGCGGCCCCCUGGACAGAUACUGACACUCAGAUGCGAAAGCGUGGGGAGCAAACAGGAUUAGAUACCCUGGUAGGCUCU
rnacentral:rRNA from 1 species